UACGUAGGUGGCAAGCGUUGUCCGGAUUUACUGGGCGUAAAGCGCGCGCAGGCGGACUGAUCAGUCUGGGGUGAAAUCUCCCGGCUCAACUGGGAGCGGUCCCUGGAUACUGUCAGUCUUGAGAGACCUAGAGGAGAGCGGAAUUCCCGGUGUAGUGGUGGAAUGCGUAGAUAUCGGGAAGAACACCAGUGGCGCAAGCGGCUCUCUGGGGGUUUUCUGACGCUGAGGCGCGAAAGCGUGGGGAGCGAACCGG
rnacentral:rRNA from 1 species